GCUUACGGACAUACCACCCUGAACACGCCCGAUCUCGUCUGAUCUCGGAAGCUAAGCAGGGUCGGGCCUGGUCAGUACUUGGAUGGGAGACCGCCUGGGAAUACCAGGUGCUGUAAGCU
rnacentral:rRNA from 1 species